GAUGAACGCUAGCGGCAGGCUUAACACAUGCAAGUCGAGGGGUAGAAGUCUUCGGACUUUGAGACCGGCGCACGGGUGCGUAACGCGUAUGCAAUCUACCUUGUACAAAGGGAUAGCCCAGAGAAAUUUGGAUUAAUACCUUAUAGUAUAUAGAUGUGGCAUCACAAUUAUAUUAAAGAUUUAUCGGUACAAGAUGAGCAUGCGUCCCAUUAGCUAGUUGGGAUGGUAACAGCAUACCAAGGCAAUGAUGGGAAGGGGUCCUGAGAGGGAGAUCACCCACACAGGGACUAGGACACGGACCAGACUCCUACGGGAGGCAGCAGUGAGGAAUAUUGGUAAAUGGGCGCAAGCCUGAACCAGCCAUGCCGCGUGCAGGAUGAAGCAUCUAUGGUGUGUAAACUGCUUUUGUACGGGAAGAAACACCUCUUCGUGAAGAGGCUUGACGGUACCGUAAGAAUAAGGACCGGCUAACUACGUGCCAGCAGCCGCCGUAA
rnacentral:rRNA from 1 species